rnacentral:rRNA from 1 species
UACAGAGGGUGCGAGCGUUGUCCGGAAUCACUGGGCGUAAAGGGCGCGUAGGUGGCGCUGCAAGUCGGUGGUGAAAGCUCGUCGCUUAACGGCGAGUCGGCCAUCGAAACUGCAGGGCUCGAGCACUGUAGGGGCUAAUGGAAUUCCGGGUGUAGCGGUGGAAUGCGUAGAGAUCCGGAAGGACACCAGUGGCGAAGGCGGUUAGCUGGGCAGUUGCUGACACUGAUGCGCGACAGCGUGGGGAGCAAACAGG